rnacentral:rRNA from 1 species
UACGGGGGGAGCAAGCGUUGUUCGGAUUUACUGGGCGUAAAGGGCGCGUAGGCGGCCACCGCAAGUCAGUUGUGAAAGCUCUGGGCUUAACCCAGAAAGGUCAGCUGAUACUGCGGGGCUAGAGUGCAGAAGGGGCAACUGGAAUUCUCGGUGUAGCGGUGAAAUGCGUAGAUAUCGAGAGGAACACCUGCGGCGAAGGCGGGUUGCUGGGCUGACACUGACGCUGACAGCGCGAAAGCUGGGGGAGCGAACGGG